AACUGCCGUAUGCCGAACGGCACGUACGGUGUUGUGAGACGACAGUAAGGGAAAUAAAUAAUAGUAACUGUCAGAUUAAAUUUUGACUAUCUAACUUUAU
rnacentral:autocatalytically_spliced_intron from 1 species